ensembl:lncRNA
CUUGGUGGUCCCAUCUGGAAAGUGUGAUGGGGAAUGCAGCCAGACGCCCCUGUGGCCCCUCCCAUCUGUGGGGUCCUGAGCGUCUGGCCCCGUGCUCACGGCCUUGAUGGGCCAUGGAGUAAUUGAUAGUAAGCGGUGGGCAUGUGCAGCCCUCCCUGCACCAGGGCCCUCGGGAGGGUGAACAGUUCACUUCACAGUAGGUCUCUGUGGCUUACCUGGAAUGGAGCUGGCUCCAAGAGCAAUUUCCCCUGGAUGAAACAAUCUCUGGAAUCCACCGUAUAUCAUUCACCAUGACGUCUUCUGUUUAAACAGCAGCAGCCGGCAGAGGGUGAGCGCUGAGGCCGUGCUGGGGGAGGGCCUGUGUCCCAGCCCCUUACCCCGGCCCCAUGGAAGGCCCCGCUGGGGGGAAAGCAGGCAUAUGGAACCCAUUUGGGAAAUUCUUUCUGCAGAAACCACUUUUUCCAGCUGGCUGUUCUCCCUGCUCUCCAAGGCUCCUGGACUUCCCUUCAGACCCAAGUGCAAGCUCUCUGUGACUUCCACCCACUGCUUCUCACAGGAGUCUCUGCCACCACCAGGCCCAGAGCACACAUCCGCCGUCCGGGACAGGCACGUGGCCACAGCUUCCUGGAGUGCAAGUCUGCAUGUGGCCAUGGCUGCCGCCCGCUGAGGGGUGAGCACGUGCCUGGAGACCAUGAGAAGGAGUCAUUCUCAUGCUCCUGGGAGUUUAGAUAAGGCUCUGUGCCCCUUGGAGCCAAACCUCUGAAUUCCACGGAGUUGCUGGGUCAAAGGACAUACUUAAGUCUGAGCUGUGGACACAAGGUGCCAACGAGCUCUCCAGAAAGGGGUGACUGUGAUAGGUCCCACCACCUGUGCCUCCACUCUCCAAAUUUUACCACCAUUCUUUUGCAUCUUUGCCAAUUUGGUGAGUGCAAAAUGAUAUUUUAGUUGUCUAUGCUUUAAGUGGAUUGAAGGAUGCUUGAAGUUUUAUUAUUUGUAAGUGAAACAUUGUUACCUGUAUUUACUGACCUACUUUCCUUUUAUGAAUGUCCCAAUUAUAUCUUUUGUCCAUUUUUCGAUUAUUGUGUUUCUUGUUCUUAUUGAUUUAUAAGAGCUCUUUGUAUAUUCAGGAUAUGAAGAGGGUCAGAGUUUAUUCAUGAAUGACAUUUCUCUUCUCUGAAGGGGGCAAAUGGC